GUUUCUGUGAGGAAGAACCAACAGGUCUCACUAGAGCACUAAAAUAUUAUCUGUGUUUCUGCAACACUGACAUCAAGAAUCAAGAGUGGAUGAAGAGUUUAACUGUAUCUGUUCUCUAAGAAACACCUUCUAAAGAAUAUAGCUGAGGAAGAAGCUGCUACGCUCCACCUACAUAAAGAACCACAUAUGAGGAGGAGACAUUAAUCAGACAGUUGAUGCUACGUUUGUCUUUCAGAGGAACUUAGACAGAGACUUUGAGAGUUUACAGCCUGAGAACAAGACAUAGAAAACAAGAGAAGGAAACACAAUGGUUGAAUUUAAAUCAUUUCAGAUGUUUUUGAUCCUGAUGAUUCCAUUUGCAGCAGCAGUGACUCAACAUUAUUCCAAGAUCAUUGUCAGAGCUGGAGAUGAAGCUACUUUAUCUUGUGAAGAUGUGAAAGAUCUCCCUGAUAAAUGUCACAGUACUACAUGGAUCUUCAACUACUUAACAACUGGACCAACAGUAACACUGUUUGAAUAUGGACAGAUUCAGAGAGAAGCUGCAGCUAAAUCGUACAGACUGAGUGUUACGGAGAAAUGUUCUCUGGUUAUAGAGAAGGUCACAGAUGAGGAUGUUGGUCGCUACACCUGCAGACAGUUUGAUGAAGGACAAACAGUUACAGACUCUCAGGUUGAUCUGACUGUUAUUAAAAGAGACAACGUAGCAACAACAACAACAACUAAAUUACCAACAACAACAACCAAAAGAACAACUAAAGCAACAACCAGACCAACAACAAUCAAAGCAACAACUAAAGCAACCAAAGCAACAACCAGACCAACAACUAAAGCAACCAAAGCAACAACCAGACCAACAACAACUAAAGCAACCAAAGCAACCUCCAGACCACCAACAACUAAAGUAACCAAAGCAACCUCCAGACCAACAACAACAACAGACCCAGCAGCAGGAGAAACAAGCCUAAAUGCAGAUCUCCUGAAGGUGCUGAUCCCUGUAGCUGUUGUUUCAGCAGCACUCUUGAUCAUCAUUGUGGCAGUCAUCAGAUGGAAGGGAGCUAAAGGGAACAACACCCAGUUGGACGACAACACUGCUGAUCCUCCAGAUGGUGUUUCCUACGCCUCCAUCCGCUACAAGAAGAAGACCAAGAGUAAAGUCCGGGUUCAGGGUGAAGAUGAUAUGGUGACCUACAGCACUCUCAACACUUCCACUGGGAUCAGCCUCCACUGAUCCCAGGAAGCUCUACACCUCCAUCAACAAGACCAACACAUGAGAGGCCACAGUGUAGCUACAUCUCUCUCUCUUCAAGUUUCUGAUUACUUCUGGUUAGAAGUGAGCUGGUGUAUAUUUAGCUCUCCAUGUCACAUGGUUCAUUGACUCUGCUCUUGAUGUAAACAUUCCAGAUUGGACACAUCUUUAUUUUUGUAUCCCUGAUCUUGUUGUUAACCCGUUCCCUUCCAGUUGAGGUUUAUUUGUGGGAGGGUUUUCUUUGCAUCUCAAAACGUAUUUAAAAAAAAGUUGUAAUUUAUCUUGAUAAUGUGUUAUUGGUAUUCUGGCAUACAGUGGGCUUACCAACACUGAGCUUCUUACUAUGAUACUGCUGUAAAUUUUAAAUACAAUAUAACAAUGUUUAGUCCUCAUUUUUUGAUUAAUUGUAUGAAUACUUUAUUAACUGCUGUAAAACCUUGUUGUCCAAAAGGUGGUGAAGUAGAUUCAGGGUGUCAGACUCUCAAAAGUAGAGUCAUGUGGCUGAUUGCUGUAUGGAAAACAUAUUAUUAUUGUAUAUAUUAUUACAGUGCAUUUUCCAAAAUAAACUUACUUUCAGUAGUUUAACUCUUCUAAAUUUUUUUCUUCUUCUUAUAAUUAUACUCUUUUUAAAUGUAUAUCUGUUAUUGUUUAACAUGUAAUAAGUUGAGGAUGAGGUAGAAAGUGUAAAAACACAGAUGUGACAUGACUUCUUAGUUGGUUAUCACCCUUAAGAGUCAUUUAUUCAACAGCAGGAAAGGGGUUGAUGAUUUGUUGUACAGUUUGAGGAGAAAUCAGGUAGUUUUCAUGCUUAAUUCAG
ensembl:lncRNA